UACGUAGGGACCGGGCGUUGUCCGGAUUCAUUGGGCGUAAAGAGCUCGUAGGCGGCUGCUCAAGUCGAAUGUGAAACCUCGAGGCUUAACCUCGAGCCUGCAUUCGAUACUGGGCGGCUAGAGUCUGGUAGGGGGAUCUGGAAUUCCUGGUGUAGCGGUGGAAUGCGCAGAUAUCAGGAAGAACACCAAUGGCGAAAGCAGCUCUCUGGGACGGUACUGACGCUGAGACGCGAAAGCGUGGGGAGCGAACAGG
rnacentral:rRNA from 1 species